rnacentral:rRNA from 1 species
GACGAACGCUGGCGGCGUGCUUAACACAUGCCAGUCGCACGGCGUGUCGAACGGGUGAGUACACGUGGUUGAUCUUCCUUGCACUUCGGGAUAAGCUUGGGAAACUUGGUCUAAUACCGGAUAGUGCAGGAUGAGCUCGCGUCCUAUCAGCGUGUUGGUGGGGUAAUGGACUACCAAGGCGUCGACGGGUAGCCGGACUGAGAGGGUGUACGGACAAAGUGGGACUGAGAUACGGCCCAGACUCCUACGGGAGGCAGCAGUGGGGAAUAUUGCACAAUGGGCGGAAGCCUGAUGCAGCGACGCCGCGUGGGGGAUGAAGGCCUUCGGGUUGUAAACUCCUUUCGACAGGGACGCGGUACCUGUAUAAGAAGCACCGGCUAACUACGUGCCAGCAGCCGCGGUAAUAC